rnacentral:rRNA from 1 species
GACGAACGCUGGCGGCGUGCUUAACACAUGCAAGUCGAACGGAAAGGCCCUGCUUUUGUGGGGUGCUCGAGUGGCGAACGGGUGAGUAACACGUGAGUAACCUGCCCUUGACUUUGGGAUAACUUCAGGAAACUGGGGCUAAUACCGGAUAGGAGCUCCUGCUGCAUGGUGGGGGUUGGAAAGUUUCGGCGGUUGGGGAUGGACUCGCGGCUUAUCAGCUUGUUGGUGGGGUAGUGGCUUACCAAGGCUUUGACGGGUAGCCGGCCUGAGAGGGUGACCGGCCACAUUGGGACUGAGAUACGGCCCAGACUCCUACGGGAGGCAGCAGUGGGGAAUAUUGCACAAUGGGCGGAAGCCUGAUGCAGCAACGCCGCGUGCGGGAUGACGGCCUUCGGGUUGUAAACCGCUUUCGCCUGUGACGAAGCGUGAGUGACGGUAAUGGGUAAAGAAGCACGGGCUAACUACGU